UCGGAUGUGGUGCACGGUGCACACCCGCUCGCAAUGGCUUGUUGCGAGUUUGUCAUUGAGGCGGGCCGCCUUGGGUUCGACUCCCAGCAUCCGAA